CGGGACUGAGAGGUUGACCCGGCGCAUUGGGACUGAGACACUGCCCAGACUCCUACGGGAGGCUGCAGUAACGAAUAUUGGACAAUGGGCGCAAGCCUGAUCCAGCGACGCCGCGUGUAGGAUGAAGUCCUUCGGGAUGUAAACUACUGUCAGGGACCACCACGCAAUACGGGUUAAUACCUCGUAACGCUGAGGAAUCCCAGAGGAAGUCACGGCUAACUUCGUGCCAGCAGCCGCGGUAAGACGAAGGUGGCAAGCGUUGUUCGGAAUCACUGGGCUUAAAGAGCAUGUAGGCGGAUGAUCAAGCGUCUUGUGAAAGCCCUCGGCUCAACCGGGGAAUUGCUUGGCGAACUGGUCAUCUUGAGGCAGGUAGGGGCAAGUGGAACUCUUGGUGGAGCGGUGGAAUGCGUAGAUAUCAAGAGGAACGCCAGAGGCGAAGGCGACUUGCUGGGCCUGUCCUGACGCUGAGAUGCGAAAGCCAGGGGAGCGAACGGGAUUAGAUACCCCGGUAGUCCUGGCCCUAAACGAUGUCCACUAGAUCGGAGAUUCUCUGACGGAUUUCUGGUCGAAAUGAAAACGUUAAGUGGACCGCCUGGGGAGUACGGUCGCAAGGCUAAAACUCAAAGGAAUUGACGGGGGCUCACACAAGCGGUGGAGCAUGUUGCUUAAUUCGAUGCAACGCGAAGAACCUUAUCCUGGACUUGACAUGUUCGGAUGCCUCCCUGGAAACAGGGUUCGGCUGCCCUUCGGGGUGAAACGAUCACAGGUGCUGCAUGGCUGUCGUCAGCUCGUGUCGUGAGAUGUUGGGUUAAGUCCCGUAACGAGCGAAACCCUUGUCGCUAGUUGCCAGCGCGUAAUGGCGGGGACUCUAGCGAGACUGCCGGUGUCAAACCGGAGGAAGGUGGGGAUGACGUCAAGUCCUCAUGGCCUUUAUGUCCAGGGCUGCAAACGUGCUACAAUGGCCGGUACAAAUCGACGCAAGACCGCGAGGCGGAGCAAAUCGCAAAAAGCCGGCCCCAGUUCGGAUUGGAGUCUGCAACUCGACUCCAUGAAGUCGGAAUCGCUAGUAAUCGCGUAUCAGCGUGACGCGGUGAAUGUGUUCCUGAGCCUUGUACACACCGCCCGUCAAGUCAUGGAAGCCGGGAGCACCCGAAGUCG
rnacentral:rRNA from 1 species